GGGGAUAUAGUUAAAAAAUAACAUUUAAUUUGCAAUUAUAAAUUAUUAUAUAAAUAAUUUUCCUCA
rnacentral:tRNA from 1 species